rnacentral:rRNA from 1 species
CCAUGCCGCGUGUGUGAAGAAGGCCCUCGGGUUGUAAAGCACUUUCAGUGAGGAAGAAGGCUUGUCGGUUAAUACCCGGCAGGAAGGACAUCACUCACAGAAGAAGCCCCGGCUAACUCCGUGCCAGCAGCCGCGGUAAUACGGAGGGGGCAAGCGUUAAUCGGAAUUACUGGGCGUAAAGCGUGCGUAGGCGGCUUGGUAAGCCGGUUGUGAAAGCCCCGGGCUCAACCUGGGAAUGGCAUCCGGAACUGUCAGGCUAGAGUGCAGGAGAGGAAGGUAGAAUUCCCGGUGUAGCGGUGAAAUGCGUAGAGAUCGGGAGGAAUACCAGUGGCGAAGGCGGCCUUCUGGACUGACACUGACGCUGAGGUACGAAAGCGUGGGUAGCAAACAGGAUUAGAUACCCUGGUAGUCCACGCCGUAAACGAUGUCGACUAGCCGUUGGGGUCCUUGAGACCUUUGUGGCGCAGUUAACGCACUAAGUCGACCGCCUGGGGAGUACGGCCGCAAGGUUAAAACUCAAAUGAAUUGACGGGGGCCCGCACAAGCGGUGGAGCAUGUGGUUUAAUUCGAUGCAACGCGAAGAACCUUACCUACCCUUGACAUCGUGCGAACUUGGUAGAGAUACCUUGGUGCCUUCGGGAGCGCACAGACAGGUGCUGCAUGGCUGUCGUCAGCUCGUGUUGUGAAAUGUUGGGUUAAGUCCCGUAACGAGCGCAACCCUUAUCCUUAUUUGCCAGCGAUACGGUCGGGAACUCUAAGGAGACUGCCGGUGACAAACCGGAGGAAGGUGGGGACGACGUCAAGUCAUCAUGGCCCUUACGGGUAGGGCUACACACGUGCUACAAUGGCCGAUACAAUGGGUCGCAAAGCGGCGACGUGGCGCUAAUCCCAUAAAGUCGGUCUCAGUCCGGAUCGGAGUCUGCAACUCGACUCCGUGAAGUCGGAAUCGCUAGUAAUCGUGAAUCAGAAUGUCACGGUGAAUACGUUCCCGGGCCUUGUACACACCGCCCGUCACACCAUGGGAGUGGACUGCACCAGAAGUGGUUAGCCUAACUUCGGAGGGCGAUCACCACGGUGUGGUUCAUGACUGGGGUGAAGUCGUAACAAGGUAGCCGUAGGGGAACCUGCGGC